UCGGGAAUUUUGGGCAAUGGGCGAAAGCCUGACCCAGCAUCGCUGCGUGAGGGAUGAAGUAUUUCGGUAUGUAAACCUCGAAAGAAUGGGAAGAAUAAAUGACGGUACCAUUUAUAAGCUCCGGCUAACUACGUGCCAGCAGCCGCGGUAAUACGUAGGGAGCAAGCGUUGUUCGGAUUUACUGGUCGUAAACGGCGCGUAGGCGGCGCGGUGAGUCACUUGUGAAAUCUCUGAGCUUAACUCAGAACGGCCAAGUGAUACUGCUGUGGUAGAGUGCGGUAGAGGCAACCGGAAUUCUUGGUGUAGCGGUGAAAUGCGGAGAUAUCAAGAGGAACACCUGAGGCGAAGGCGGGUUGCUGGACCGACACUGACGCUGAUGCGCGAAAGCCAGGGGAGCAAACG
rnacentral:rRNA from 1 species